UUCACAUUAUUCUCCCAAUUUCAAUUUCCUGAAAGGGCAAAUGUGAAUUCAAGAAAUGGAAAUGCAGGAUCCAUUUCCCAAUAAAUAAAUAAAUCCCUGUUCUUCUUAUCACUCACAAACAUCCUCACCAUUUUCAAGAUCCCAUUUUUAUUUUUCUCCCACAAAACAAUCCCAAUCCUCAGCAGAUGCGGCGUCCGAUUCUCGGUGGGCUGCUCUUAAUCUUGUCAUUAUCACUCACCGUCGCCGGAUUUCGCCACGCGCCGGCGGUGGAGGAGACGAUGGUGCCGGUGGCGGCGGAGAUUAUGGUGGGGAGGAGGAAGCUGGGGGGGUUUCAGACAUGCGCGCUGUGCACUUGCUGCGGCGGCGGCGGAGGGAGGAGCUACUGUUUGGCGACGCCGUGCUGCUAUGCGAUUAAUUGCAAUAUCCCAAACAGGCCCUUUGGAUUCUGCUCUUUCACUCCCAAGACUUGCAAUUGCUUUGGAUGCCAUCUCUAGGUUUUUUGUAAUGUUGAGGAUUUGUUUUGUUUGUUUCUAAUUCAGCUUUUUCUGUGGGAAGAGACAGCUUGGUUAGAGACAGUGGAGGAAGUGGCAUUGGGAUUAACGGUUA